rnacentral:rRNA from 1 species
GUUACAGCAGCCGCGGUAAGACAGGGGUCUCGAGCGUUAAUCGGAAUUACUGGGCUUAAAGGGUGCGUAGGCCGGCCCGCAAGUGCUUCGUGAAAUCCCCCGGCUCAACCGGGGAACAGCUUGGCAUACUGCGGGUCUUGAGGAAGGCAGGGGUCGCCAGAACUGUAGGUGGAGCGGUGAAAUGCGUAGAUAUCUACAGGAAUGCCGAUGGUGAAGACGGGCGACUGGGCCUUUCCUGACGCUGAGGCACGAAAGCGUGGGGAGCAAACAGGAUUAGAAACCCGCGUAGUCC